AAUAAUUUAGCUUAUUAAAGCACUUUACUGAAGAUAAAGAAAACU
rnacentral:tRNA from 1 species